rnacentral:rRNA from 1 species
UACGUAGGGGGCGAGCGUUGUCCGGAUUUAUUGGGCGUAAAGAGCUCGUAGGCGGUUCGAUAAGUCGGGUGUGAAAUCUCCACGCUUAACGUGGAGGGUGCAUUCGAUACUGUCGUGACUAGAGUCCGGUAGAGGAGUGUGGAAUUCCUGGUGUAGUGGUGAAAUGCGUAGAUAUCGGGAGGAACACCAGUGGCGAAGGCGACUACUUGGCCUGUUUCUUGACGCUGAGGCGCGAAAGCUAGGGGAGCAAACGGG